rnacentral:SRP_RNA from 1 species
CCGUGCUAGACGGGGAGCUAGCGGUGCCCUGUACCCGCAAUCCGCUAUAGCGGGGUCGAAUUCCCACCCGCGGGCGCAAGCCUGCCGGGUCGAGCCGUCCACCGCCGGCGUUGAUGGUUGGGUCCGGCGCGACGGAAGCCUGCGAACCCCGCCAGGUCCGGAAGGAAGCAACGGUAAGCAGUAACUUCCGGGUGCCGCCGGGGCGCCUGGCCGGAGCCGGUGAUGGCCGGUCAGCCGGUGGGCCCGUUCAACGGUGGGUGCACGG